rnacentral:lncRNA from 1 species
GGUGAAGUAGGGAUGCUCUGCCAGCUUAUUUCAAUAUGGACUAGUUUUCUAUUAUCUGUAAAGUAAAAUAACUCAAAGGCAGACGUGUUAGUUCCCAUAAAUGAUAAGUAAUGCAAGAUACUUGACAAGAAAUAACCACGUAGAGUUGUUUGUGUCAUAGCCAAAUUGAUCCACAUGAAUAUAGUGGAUAAAUUUGCCUUUGAUUCAAACAAACGCACAUAAACACAUAAGAUAGUUAUAUCGCACAAAAAAAAUUAUAAUAACGCGUAUCCUAACUAGGGUGACCCUUUUGAGUUAAGGGUUUAGGCCUAACGAAUUUUGAAGAAAAUAUAUGCCUUUUUAAAGCCAAUCCAUUAUCCCCCAAUUUCAUAGAUAUACAUAAAUGACAUAAAUGCCUACAAAAGUUGCACAAAAGGGACACAAUCUUUAGGGAAAAGAGAAAUAACAUGAGAAAAAGAAUCAUGUCCCGCGCAGGGGAUAGAAAAUACUAAUUCCUGAAUGCUUCUUCUAUCGGUCUUCGCCCUCUUAGCUUAGUGCACUUCUUGUUAUUGGUGACAUCCAUUGAUGAUCAAGCGAUUUUCGUAUUACUGUGCUCUAGAUGCAACCGUCCAAAUCAAUCAAUUUCUUACUUGGCUUGCUUCAAUUCCUUCCUCAAUUGGUGAACGAUUGAGGCAUCCUUACACGAAGUAAGGCAAGCUUUCUCCCGACCCCCAAAGGAUAAUGGAUUGGAUUAAACAAACAUAUAUUUCUUCAACACAUAAAUAUGAUUCAUCUGUAAUUGACUCGAGUUCAAUAGAUGUAGGGCAAGUUUUCUAAUGGGCACAAUUCCCCCUCGGGUAUUGGAUUGUCCUAGGCUAAUGCCUAAAAUAGGGUUUUGGUUUCGCUCUAUCCUAGGUGUCUAGAGUGAGUUUGGAAAUAGGUUUCCAAGCGGACAACUUGAGUUUAGAAACAUGACAGCCUCCGACCGCCUAACGUGUCGGUAAACUGUCGUGUUUCCAAUAUUUUAUUUAGAAUUGAACAACAAGGGUCAGGACAUCCACGAAACCCCAAAACAAUAUAAUAAUCAAUGCAGGAACAUGCCAUGAAAUGCAAUAAUCAAAUUCCACAAGAAUCAAAACACAUAAACACGUAAAAUAGUUAGGCGAAAAAAGUCAUUAAACAUUUGGUUAGAACCUAGUUAAAUAUCCCCAGCAGAGUCGCCAUUUCUGUUUUUCAAAAAUUUUGACUUUUAGAGUCGCCACUUAAUUUAUUUGAAAAGGAAUUAAGAAAAUCUUUAUACAAUACUUUAAACGAUCCAAAGCAGAAAAAUCAUUUAAGUUAGAGAUUCUAGGUAAACGGUUCCUAUUAACGUUUUAGGAAGGUUUUAAGGCACCUAAAACAUCCGCUAACUUGCGGUUAUCCGAAUUGUUUGAAUACCAUCUUUGACUAACUUUGAAAAAAGAGAAGUUGAUUUUUUUUGAAAAGGAAGUGAUUUUAGGAAAAGAUUUGUAUAAAAAUAAAUUUCAACGACUUAGUAGGGGAUUUAACCAAGUCUAAGCAAAUGAAAAGCAAAUAAGCACGUAAAAGGGGAAAGGUAGGAAAGUAAAAGACUUGGGCCAUUGAGCCCAAAUCAACAAACCCUGUCCUAAUCUAAUUGGGUUUUUGGACCAUUUGCACCUGUCCUAAUCUAAAUGUUGGUCCUUGGCCCGUAACCUAUCCUAAAGCUAUUUUUAAAGCCCAUUUGGCUCAAGAUCUGCUGCACCUGUAUUAGUUUACAACUUUAGCUUCGAGGCCCGAAUGAAUAAAUAAUAAAAUAAAUGAAUAAAUAAAUAAAGGCAACAAUGAAAUGAAUAAAUAAAUAAAAUGAGACAUUCAAGUCUCAUAGCCUCCUCAAAGAUUGACUUUAACCCAUUCUUCUUCUUCUGACUCAUUGCAUUCAUACACUGUGUAAUUGAUUUCAGACUUAUUCUAAAUCUUGACUCGAGAGGAUGGGCCUCAUUGGCCAUGAAGAAAAUACAAGGCCAAAUUGGAGUCCAUUUGGACUCCAAAGAAAGUUCAUGCAAAGAUAAAGUACAAAAAAAUUAAUAAUCAUUUCGAAUUGCCGGUUUAACAUGAUAAAGGAUUUAUGAUACUGUAAAGGAUAUACAAGCAACAAAUAUAGGAAGAAAUAUACUUCACGAACUGGGGAAAAGCAUAUGACCACAGAAAUUCAAGUUCGUAGAAGAGACAAAAUGGCUAUGAAGAAAGCCUGUUAAUUUUGAGCAAGUGUAAUAAAACAAUCACAUUUUUACACUACAAAAAUAUUUAGCUAAGUGAGGACAUUUACUGGACACCUUAAAGAUUUAACAAGGGAGAAGGAAAGUUGAUAAACAAUAAUACAAAGAGAUUAAAGAAUAAAUAAGUCAUAAGAUAAUAACAUCCUAUGUUCUGAGAAUUAUUAUUCGUAUCUAAUUUCAAACCAUUAUACAAUAAACUAAAGGAAAGAAACAUGAUUGAUUAUAUUAAGCAAAUUUUAAUUAAUUAUAAACAAAUAAGGGGAAACAAAUUAGAGGGAUUGGGAACAUGUGUCCUUAGUAUUCAUCUGAGGCAAAAGCAAACAUAACAUGAUUUUAAAAGAUCAUUCUUUUCUUAGCCAUAGGACUACAUAUAUAGAAAACUACUUUUACCUUCAAGUCAUCAAUAUAUUUAAUUAGACCAAAUGAGAAUGAGCAGGGAAAGUUAUCCGAUUCAUGAUUACAAACUUCAUGAAUAUCUUCAGAUUAUCACGUAGAGAGAAAAGAGAAGGGCGAGAGCAUGCUUAAACAAACAUAUUUUUCUUAAACAAACGCUUUGAGCUUGGUAACAAAGUCGCCCUAUCUAAGUUACUGUUACCACCCAGAUCACAGGAAUAAACCACUUGCCUAAAUUUGGAAUCAGGAAAGACUAAAUAAAUCCAACCAAUUGGUCAACAUUUCAUAAGAAAAGUUUUAUGAUAAAGCACCUAUCUUGCAUUGAGAACGUUUAGAUAUUUUACCAAAGAUUAGCCCCACCCCCCCAAAAGGGAAAUUCUCUAUAUUCGAAUCAAAACUAGACUAUAACUUCAUUUUGGUAAACGAAAAAUAAAAACAAAACACGUACUUCAAACUGAACAUGAUUGGAGCAAUCAUCAAGAAUCAAACAUGAAGAAAUAGGCGAAAAAAGAACAAACUCAUGAUAAUAACAGAAUAAUAUUUCUAAAGAAAAAAUCUAUCCUUUCUUAUAGCGAUUGCUAAUGAAAUUAAUCAAGAGAAAGAUAAUACGAACUAAAGGAAACAUAUCUUAACAUAACAGCUACAAAAACUUUCAAUAGACAAAACAGGCGUCCAAAAUAUAUUUACAAUCAAGGCACAACCAACAAGGAAGAACAGGGAUUUCAUACUAUUCAACACCUUUAAACCUGAACUGAUAGUAAAAAAAGAGAAACUCGACACAGAGAUCAAAUAAAGAAUCGACUACAGCGCAACCAUUACACAUUUUUAUGGCACAUGGAUCCUAUGACCUUUGAGGCCUUCUAUAGCGAACAUCCAGCAUACAAGGGAGAAUUAAACUGUUACUAUUCUGAAAAAGAAAUGAUACAGAAUCACGAGAAAGAAAAUACAAAGUUGAGAAGUUUACCUCCUUCGGGACAGCAAAAUGGGACUCGGGCUUUCGUCAAAAUUGCAACCAACAAAAAACAACGUCGUCAUCAACUUGAAAACUCCAAUUAGUCGACGAACUUCGCAAAAAAAAAAUUAUCAAAGAAACAAGACUGUUUUCUGCUCAAAAGAAUAAUU